UACGAAGGGGGCUAGCGUUGCUCGGAAUCACUGGGCGUAAAGCGCACGUAGGCGGGUCUUUAAGUCAGGGGUGAAAUCCUGGAGCUCAACUCCAGAACUGCCUUUGAUACUGAGGAUCUCGAGUCCGGGAGAGGUGAGUGGAACUCCGAGUGUAGAGGUGAAAUUCGUAGAUAUUCGGAAGAACACCAGUGGCGAAGGCGGCUCACUGGCCCGGUACUGACGCUGAGGUGCGAAAGCGUGGGGAGCAAACAGGAUUAAGAAACCCCGGU
rnacentral:rRNA from 1 species